UGGGGAAUAUUGCACAAUGGGGGGAAACCCGUGAUGCAGCGACGCCGCGUGAGUGAAGAAGUAAUUCGUUAUGUAAAGCUCUAUCAGCAGGGGAAGGAAAAAUGACGGUACCUGAGUAAGAAGCCCCGGCUAACUACGUGCC
rnacentral:rRNA from 1 species